rnacentral:rRNA from 1 species
GAUGAACGCUAGCGGCAGGCUUAACACAUGCAAGUCGAGGGGUAUAUCAUUUCGGUGAUAGAGACCGGCGCACGGGUGCGUAACGCGUAUGCAAUCUACCUUUUACAGGGGAAUAGCCCAGAGAAAUUUGGAUUAAUGCCCCAUGGUAUUAUGAAAUGGCAUCAUUUUAUAAUUAAAGUUCCAACGGUAAAAGAUGAGCAUGCGUCCCAUUAGUUAGUUGGUAAGGUAACGGCUUACCAAGACGAUGAUGGGUAGGGGUCCUGAGAGGGAGAUCCCCCACACUGGUACUGAGACACGGACCAGACUCCUACGGGAGGCAGCAGUGAGGAAUAUUGGACAAUGGGCGCAAGCCUGAUCCAGCCAUGCCGCGUGCAGGAAGAAGCAUCUAUGGUGUGUAAACUGCUUUUAUACAGGAAGAAACACUCCCUCGUGAGGGAGCUUGACGGUACUGUAAGAAUAAGGACCGGCUAACUCCGUGCCAGCAGCCGAC